rnacentral:rRNA from 1 species
CAGGUAGCAUAAUCAUUAGUCUUUUAAUUGAAGGCUGGAAUGAAUGGUUGGAUGAGGUAAAAGCUGUCUCUCUNGAAAGUNNUUAUAAUUUCACUUAACAGUUAAAAGGCUGUUAUUAUUUUAUAGGACGAGAAGACCCUAUAGAUCUUUAUAAUAUUCUUGACANGGGUUUAGUCGAGGUUUUCCUGUAAAGAUUUUUUAUUUUGUUGGGGUGACAGGGAAAUAAAUUAACUUUCCUAAAUAUUNACACUAAUUAGUGUUUUAANNGGAUCCAUUAAUAGUGAUUAAAAGAAUAAGUUACCUUAGGGAUAACAGCAUAAUCUUCUUUGAGAGUUCAAAUCGACAAGAAGGGUUGUGACCUCGAUGUUGGACUAAGAA